rnacentral:rRNA from 1 species
GAUCAUGGCUCAGGAUGAACGCUGGCGGCGUGCUUAACACAUGCAAGUCGAACGAAGCACUUUUGACAGAUUCUUCGGAUGAUGGAUUUAGUGACUGAGUGGCGGACGGGUGAGUAACGCGUGAGCAACCUGCCUUGGCAUGGGGGAUAACGUUUGGAAACGAACGCUAAUACCGCAUAUCGCAUAGGGACCGCAUGAUUCUUAUGCAAAAGAUUUAUUGUGCUAAGAUGGGCUCGCGUCCCAUUAGAUAGUUGGUGGGGUAACGGCCCACCAAGUCGACGAUUGGUAGCCGGACUGAGAGGUUGAUCGGCCACAUUGGGACUGAGACACGGCCCAGACUCCUACGGGAGGCAGCAGUGGGGAAUAUUGCGCAAUGGGGGAAACCCUGACGCAGCAACGCCGCGUGAAGGAAGAAGGCCUUCGGGUUGUAAACUUUUGUCCUAUGGGAAGAUAGUGACGGUACCAUAGGAGGAAGCCACGGCUAACUACGUG